UACAGAGGUCCCAAGCGUUGUUCGGAAUUACUGGGCGUAAAGCGCACGUAGGCGGAUUUGUUAGUCAGGGGUGAAAUCCCGGGGCUCAACCUCGGAACUGCCUUUGAUACUGCAAGUCUCGAGUCCGAUAGAGGUGGGUGGAAUUCCUAGUGUAGAGGUGAAAUUCGUAGAUAUUAGGAAGAACACCGGUGGCGAAGGCGGCCCACUGGAUCGGUACUGACGCUGAGGUGCGAAAGCGUGGGGAGCAAACAGG
rnacentral:rRNA from 1 species